rnacentral:snRNA from 1 species
UUGCUUCAGCAGCAAAUAUACUAAAAUUGGAAUGAUACAGAGAAGAUAAGCAUGGCCCCUGUAAAA